AGUGAACGCUGGCGGUAGGCCUAACACAUGCAAGUCGAACGGCAGCACAGUAAGAGCUUGCUCUUACGGGUGGCGAGUGGCGGACGGGUGAGGAAUACAUCGGAAUCUACUUUUUCGUGGGGGAUAACGUAGGGAAACUUACGCUAAUACCGCAUACGACCUACGGGUGAAAGCAGGGGAUCUUCGGACCUUGCGCGAUUGAAUGAGCCGAUGUCGGAUUAGCUAGUUGGCGGGGUAAAGGCCCACCAAGGCGACGAUCCGUAGCUGGUCUGAGAGGAUGAUCAACCACACUGGAACUUAGACACGGUCCAGACACCGACAGGGGGCCACAGUGGGGAAUAUUGGACAAUGGGCGCAAGCCUGAUCCAGCCAUACCGCGUGGGUGAAGAAGGCCUUCGGGUUGUAAAGCCCUUUUGUUGGGAAAGAAAAGCAGCAGGUUAAUACCCCGCUGUUCUGACGGUACCCAAAGAAUAAGCACCGGCUAACUUCGUG
rnacentral:rRNA from 1 species